rnacentral:rRNA from 1 species
UACGGAGGAUGCGAGCGCUAUCCGGAUUUAUUGGGUUUAAAGGGUGCGUAGGCGGAUCGUUAAGUCAGUGGUCAAAUUGAGGGGCUCAACCCCUUCCCGCCAUUGAAACUGGCGAUCUUGAGUGGAAGAGAAGUAUGCGGAAUGCGUGGUGUAGCGGUGAAAUGCAUAGAUAUCACGCAGAACCCCGAUUGCGAAGGCAGCAUGCCGGCUUCCUACUGACGCUGAAGCACGAAAGCGUGGGGAUCGAACAGG